GUGUCUCACACCGAGCCUGUUUAUUUCUCACGCAACUAAGAACCUAACAUAUCCCGUGACAACUUGGGAGCUGGAGGCUAGGGGAAGGUUCUGUAUCAACUUGGACUUGGAAUACUCUGACCUCUGACUGUUCGCACAAAUGUCCUUCAGUGAUUCCUGAAAUCUGGUUGGUUUGAGACAGUUGUCUUUCGUGGUUUUGUUUGUUUGUUUUUUGUUAUUGUUUUUAUUUAUUUUUUUUUUUUUGGUUGUUUUGCCCUGAAGUUUCAAAUCAACGUGCAGGGCCGGACUCUUUCUUUUUAGGCCGAGGGGUUGCCCACACAAAGGACCAAAAGGCUCCAUCACUGUGUGACAGACAGAGCAAUGAAGUGAACUCCCCGAGUCGUUCUUCUGUCUUUAAGGUGGAGAAGAGAAUGCUGGGGGCUUCAGUUGUGCAGAGCGGUGGGGUGGGGUGCACUAUGCCCUGCCAGCAAGAUCUUGCUGUGCCUGUAGAAGAAGUCACCCUAGUGACCCCCUUGGUCUCAGCUAGUUCACUGAACAACUAGGAGUUGCAUCUUAGAUCGUUGGCUCCUGUCAAAUGUUUCCCAUGAAACUGGAAGAACAUGCGUGUGUUUUUUAAAAGGUGAGCUCUAGAUGUGGGCCACAGCUAACAGCACAAGCAAAAGUGAAGUUUAAGGGGUGUGAACUACGGCCUGGGCGUGAGACACAACUCCAAAUCUGGCUGUUUUGAAGACAAUUUUUAUCCCCCUGCCUCACUGAAGACAAGGUCAACAUGGAACUUCUUCACGUGGACUUUCGUGCCAGCACAUGGUGUUGCACAAUAAGGAAUUCUAUGUGCGCUUCAGUAAGGAUGUGCCUGCCCCUCAGGAGGCAGUUUGGAACCUACCCUUCUGACACACUUCUUCAUCCCCUUCUCUCACAGGGCUUCCUGGUGACCUUUUCUCCUCUACCUCUCUCUUUCUCAGCAUCUCUAUUGGUGAAUCCUUCAUGCAAAGGCAAGGUCCGUGCUAGUUCUCACUGAGGUGUGCCUUGCCCCUGUUUUUCGAGCACUUUCUAGACUACUAACACUAAUUUUGUACUUAGCUAUCGUCCUGAAAACUUUAAAUGCCAAUUUGCCACAACCUGAAAUUACUUCGGGAGGAGACCCCGAAUAAGACUCCUGAGACAUUGUAUACAUGAGAUUGGCCUGUGGGCCUGUUUGUUGGGGAGGGGGUCAUCUUAUGUCUGUGGGAGAGGGCAGGGGGCCUCAUCUUGAUGUUUAUUAAAGUGGGAAGACCUGCUGAGAAUGUGGGGGCACCUGUUUUCUGGGCUGAACUCUGAACUGUACAGGAUGAGGAAAGCUGGUCAAGAUAGAGAAUAGCAAGCUCCCUGCACGUGGAUUAACACCGCUCACUCUGCUUUUGAUGUGCGAAUGUGAUGUGGCAGGGCCUGAGACUUGCACUCAGUGAUGGCCUGCAGCCUGGAAUUGGCAGUUGAAUAACCCUUUCCUUCCCCAAGGUGCUUAUGGCCAGGGUGUCUUACCACUGCGAAAGCAGUGAAUGUAGAAUGACUGACCACAUAGAGGGUAGCAUGGGUCACUGUCAGGUUCACAUAAAAUAACUGUUUUGGGUCAGUAACUGGAUAAAUGCUGUAUUCUGUCUACACCAUCAUACUAUCUGCCACAAGUUGAGCUCAAAAGAUAAGUUUUUUUAUAGGUUGAUGAUUAAACUGAUUUAAAAUUAUUCGAUUUUAAUUUAUUCAUCCCAGCCAUAGGGGUCAAGAACUAAGCUGGAUAAUUUGAAGCUGAGUGUAAUUUUUUUUCCUCAGUUGUUCUCUGAAUUCCAAUAUAAUGGGCGUAAGAACUAUGUGCUGGCUAUAGAAACUAUCACCAAAUUAGGCACUUUCUCCACAGGGGCUCGUUCUCUCCCUCACAGCAGUAUUGGAGUUAUUCUUCAUGAUUUUAUAUGCAUUUGGGUCACAUGGUUAGGUUUAAAGCAGGCCUUUGAGUCCAUGUCCUUCCCUCUAUGCAAGCCCAUUUUCUUAACUAUUUCAUAAACUACUUUGAUUAACUUAAUUACAUACGCACUAGAUAGGUGUUUUUAAUACUAUUUUGGCAGAAGAGCAUUUUACACAUAGGUGUGGUGACUUGAAUGAAGAAUGUCCCUACAGGCUCAAUUAUUUGAACACUUAGUCCCAGGUUGGUGGCACUGUGGGGAGGUUCUGGGAACUUUAGUUUGCUGGAGGAAAUAUGUCAUUAAGGGGAGGGCUUAGAACUUUUGUAGCCUUGCUCUAAUUCCAGUUUAUUUUCCCUGCUUUGUGUUUUUGACUGAAUAUGUGAUCAUUCACCUUCUGGUUCCAUCAGGAUUGCCUACGUGUAGUCAUGCCUUUCCCUCGAUUUUACUCUUUCCUUUUGGAACCAUAGGCAAAAAUCAACUCUUCCUCCUGUAAGUCACUGUUUUAUAACUGGAAUGAAAACUAACUAAUACAAUGGGUGACAUUUCAUUGAAAUUUAUCCUUAAACAUUUAACCCUAUUGUGUAAGGGUAACUGUAAAAUGUAAAGAUUAAGUCUUUGAUCUUCAUGAAUGACCAUCAUCUAGUCACAAGAAGAUAAAUCUGGGCUUCCCACCCCUGCCUCUCUGGGAGGUUAUCUUAGCCUACGUGACAGAUAGACAGAUUCCCCAGAAGACUUUGCAAGUCGCUUCUGGAAAGUGACUCUAUAAAGAAGAAAACAUGGAAGUUUUCUGCCAGAAUAAAUCUUUCAUAAACACAAAAUUCGUUCAACAUUCAAAUAUGUAAUGGGAAAGAUUAGUGUUCCUGGCUAAAGCUUUGUCUGGGCUUGUGCUUCAAUAAUCUGGGAAUUAUUGCUAACAGCAGAGAGAGUAGCCUUUAUUGAAAAUUACCAGUUAAAAUGAGAUUACGGUAAAGGAAAGAAACCUGAGUGUUGGGAUCUACUUGGAGGGAGCAAAUCUCAACCGAGUGAGCGUACUUCUCCCUGUCUCACUGGUGGAUUAGGCUGUACUGCUAUAGGCACAGAUUUUUUUUUUGCAUUA
ensembl:lncRNA